GCCUGGAUGGCUCAGUUGGUUAAGCAUCUGACUUCAGCUCAGGUCAUGAUCUCACAGUCUGUGAGUUUGAGCCCCACAUCGGGCU
rnacentral:tRNA from 1 species